CCUACGGGAGGCAGCAGUGAGGAAUAUUGGUCAAUGGCCGGAAGGCUGAACCAGCCAAGCCGCGUGAGGGACGACUGCCCUAUGGGUUGUAAACCUUAUCUAUAAGGGAAGAACAAAUGCUACGCGUAGUAUGAUGCCUGUACCUUCUGAAUAAGCAUCGGCUAACUCCGUGCAAGCAGCCGCGGUAAUACGGAGGACGCGAGCGUUAACCGGAUUUAUUGGGUCUAAAGGGUGCGUAGGGGGUUUUCUAAGUCAGGGGGUAAACGUCGGGGUUACACCUUGAUUUGCCAUUAAUACUGGAAGGCUCGAGUGCGGACGAGGUAGGCGGAAUAAGUGAAGUAGCGGUGAAAUGCUUAGAUAUAA
rnacentral:rRNA from 1 species